UACGAGGGGGGCGAGCGUUGUUCGGAAUUAUUGGGCGUAAAGGGUGCGUAGGCGGUUUGGUAAGUCUUUUGUGAAAUCUCUGGGCUCAACUCAGAGUCUGCAAGGGAAACUGCCGGGCUGGAGUGUGGGAGAGGUGAGUGGAAUUUCCGGUGUAGCGGUGAAAUGCGUAGAUAUCGGAAGGAACACCUGUGGCGAAAGCGGCUCACUGGACCGGUACUGACGCUGAGGUGCGAAAGCGUGGGGAGCAAACAGG
rnacentral:rRNA from 1 species